GCUCCUUUAGAUGAGUUGGUUACAUCAUCUGCUUUACACGCAGAAGGUCACCAGUUCGAUCCUGGUAGGGGGCA